rnacentral:rRNA from 1 species
UGCAGAAUCCCGUGAACCAUCGAGUUUUUGAACGCAAGUUGCGCCCGAAGCCACUAGGCCGAGGGCACGUCUGCCUGGGCGU